CUCGAGUGGCGAACGGGUGAGUAACACGUGGGUGAUCUGCCCUGCACUUCGGGAUAAGCUUGGGAAACUGGGUCUAAUACCGGAUAGGAACCAUCUUUAGUGUGGUGGUUGGAAAGUUUUUUCGGUGUAGGAUGAGCUCGCGGCCUAUCAGCUUGUUGGUGGGGUAAUGGCCUACCAAGGCGGCGACGGGUAGCCGGCCUGAGAGGGUGCACGGCCACAUUGGGACUGAGAUACGGCCCAGACUCCUACGGGAGGCAGCAGUGGGGAAUAUUGCACAAUGGGCGCAAGCCUGAUGCAGCGACGCCGCGUGGGGGAUGAAGGCCUUCGGGUUGUAAACUCCUUUCGCUAGGGACGAAGCUUUUUGGUGACGGUACCUAGAUAAGAAGCACCGGCUAACUACGUGCCAGCAGCCGCGGUAAUACGUAGGGUGCGAGCGUUGUCCGGAAUUACUGGGCGUAAAGGGCUCGUAGGUGGUUUGUCGCGUCGUCUGUGAAAUUCUGGGGCUUAACUCCGGGCGUGCAGGCGAUACGGGCAUAACUUGAGUGCUGUAGGGGUAACUGGAAUUCCUGGUGUAGCGGUGAAAUGCGCAGAUAUCAGGAGGAACACCGAUGGCGAAGGCAGGUUACUG
rnacentral:rRNA from 1 species